rnacentral:tRNA from 1 species
AUUUAUAUAAUAUAUCUUAGUAUAUUUAACUUCCAAUUAAAAAGUUUAAACAUUUAAUAUAAAUA